UGCAAGUCGAACGCUGAAGCACUGUGCUUGCACGGUGUGGAUGAGUGGCGAACGGGUGAGUAACACGUGAGUAACUGCCCGUGACUUCGGGAUAAGCUUGGGAAACUGGGUCUAAUACCGGAUGUGACUACUGGCCGCAUGGUCUGGUGGUGGAAAGGGUUUUACUGGUUGGGGAUGGACUCGCGGCCUAUCAGUUUGUUGGUGGGGUAGUGGCCUACCAAGACGACGACGGGUAGCCGGCCUGAGAGGGCGACCGGCCACACUGGGACUGAGACACGGCCCAGACUCCUACGGGAGGCAGCAGUGGGGAAUAUUGCACAAUGGGGGGAACCCUGAUGCAGCGACGCCGCGUGCGGGAUGACGGCCUUCGGGUUGUAAACCGCUUUCAGUAGGGAAGAAGCGAAAGUGACGGUACCUGCAGAAGAAGUACCGGCUAACUACGUGCCAGCAGCCGCGGUAAUACGUAGGGUACAAGCGUUGUCCGGAAUUAUUGGGCGUAAAGAGCUCGUAGGUGGUUGGUCGCGUCUGCUGUGGAAACGCAACGCUUAACGUUGCGCGUGCAGUGGGUACGGGCUGACUAGAGUGCAGUAGGGGAGUCUGGAAUUCCUGGUGUAGCGGUGAAAUGCGCAGAUAUCAGGAGGAACACCGGUGGCGAAGGCGGGACUCUGGGCUGUAACUGACGCUGAGGAGCGAAAGCAUGGGGAGCGAACAGGAUUAGAUACCCUGGUAGUCCAUGCCGUAAACGUUGGGAACUAGGUGUGGGGUCCGUUCCACGGAUUCCGUGCCGGAGCUAACGCAUUAAGUUCCCCGCCUGGGGAGUACGGCCGCAAGGCUAAAACUCAAAGGAAUUGACGGGGGCCCGCACAAGCGGCGGAGCAUGCGGAUUAAUUCGAUGCAACGCGAAGAACCUUACCAAGGCUUGACAUACACUGGAAUCGGCUAGAGAUAGUCGCGUCUUCGGACUGGUGUACAGGUGGUGCAUGGUUGUCGUCAGCUCGUGUCGUGAGAUGUUGGGUUAAGUCCCGCAACGAGCGCAACCCUCGUUCUAUGUUGCCAGCACGUGAUGGUGGGAACUCAUGGAAGACUGCCGGGGUCAACUCGGAGGAAGGUGGGGAUGACGUCAAAUCAUCAUGCCCUUUAUGUCUUGGGCUUCACGCAUGCUACAAUGGCCGGUACAAAGGGUGGCGAUACUGUGAGGUGGAGCGAAUCCCAGAAAGCCGGUCU
rnacentral:rRNA from 1 species